rnacentral:lncRNA from 1 species
AUCAACGAAGCCCAAAAGGAGUUUGGAUAAAGUCGAUCGUGGCUAGGAGAAGUCCGGAAGAGAUUCGGAGAAUAGUUGAUUACUGUAGAAGAUCGGCUGAUUGUGAAGCCUGGAGAGUGUUUGGAGCGGCCCGAUAAAUGAAUGGAGAGGCUCAUUGUCGGAGAAGUCCGGAUGGCAUUAUGGAAGCUCGGACGGUCGAGAGGGUUUAGAGAGACACCACACA